AGUCGAGAUCAGUCAGAUUGAGGUCGAGACUUGAGAAACUCGUAGAAGAGAAGAAAAAGUAGAAUAGUCACAAAAAAAUAGAGAAACGAUAAAAAAUUAUAAAACAAAAACUAAACGAAAUGAAGAAGAGAUCUAGAGAUGAGAAUAGUGAAUUGUGAAUUGCGUUGUUUUGUGAUUGAUUAAUUAGUAGUAGAAAGUUGUGUUGUUGUGUCUGUGCUGUGUGUGUUUAGUGUUACAACAACUACUAAACUUAAGUUACUGAGUAUUUUUUAAGAGAAAAACUAACAAAACUUGAAAGUUUUCGACAAAUAAAUAGGCCUAGUGAGUUCUCUGUCCACUUGCACUUGCCUAUUUUAAGCCAAUUCUAGAACACAACAUUGUGAAGGAAAAUUAAGCCUAAAAAUGCAAACUAACAAUCAUCGAAUGUCCCCUUUGAGCAAUUCCAAUCAUGCGAAUGAUGAAUAUGACUUCGAUGAUGAUGACAACUUGUCUGCCCAUGAUUCAGAAGAAAGUGAUGAAGGGACAGAAGAAGCCAGUGAGUCAGAAAUUGCCAAAGGGGCUGAAGAAUAUACUGAAAUUAAGGAACA